UUUAUGGAGAGUUUGAUCCUGGCUCAGGACGAACGCUGGCGGCGUGCCUAAUACAUGCAAGUCGAGCGGAUCUUCUUAAGUAGCUUGCUACUUAAGAAGGUUAGCGGCGGACGGGUGAGUAACACGUAGGCAACCUGCCCAUAAGACCGGGAUAACAUUCGGAAACGAAUGCUAAGACCGGAUACGCAGAAUUGGGGCAUCUCGAUUCUGGGAAACACGGUGCAAGCUGUGGCUUA
rnacentral:rRNA from 1 species